GACGAACGCUGGCGGCGUGCUUAACACAUGCAAGUCGAACGGAAAGGCCCUGCUUUUGUGGGGUGCUCGAGUGGCGAACGGGUGAGUAACACGUGAGUAACCUGCCCUUGACUUUGGGAUAACUUCAGGAAACUGGGGCUAAUACCGGAUAGGAGCUCCUGCUGCAUGGUGGGGGUUGGAAAGUUUCGGCGGUUGGGGAUGGACUCGCGGCUUAUCAGCUAGUUGGUGGGGUAGUGGCUUACCAAGGCUUUGACGGGUAGCCGGCCUGGGAGGGUGACCGGCCACAUUGGGACUGCGGUACGGACCAGACUCCUACGGGAGGCAGAAGUCGGGAAUAUUGCACAAUGGGCGGAAGUCUGAUGCAGCAACGCCGCGAGCGGGAUGCCGGCCUUCGGGUUGUAAACAGCUUUCGCCUGUGACGAAGCGUGAGUGACGGUAAUGGGUAAAGAAGCACCGGCUAACUACGUG
rnacentral:rRNA from 1 species